GAUGAACGCUGGCGGCGUGCCUAAUACAUGCAAGUCGAGCGAACAGACGAGGAGCUUGCUCCUCUGACGUUAGCGGCGGACGGGUGAGUAACACGUGGAUAACCUACCUAUAAGACUGGGAUAACUUCGGGAAACCGGAGCUAAUACCGGAUAAUAUAUUGAACCGCAUGGUUCAAUAGUGAAAGACGGUUUUGCUGUCACUUAUAGAUGGAUCCGCGCCGCAUUAGCUAGUUGGUAAGGUAACGGCUUACCAAGGCGACGAUGCGUAGCCGACCUGAGAGGGGGAUCGGCCACACUGGAACUGAGACGCGGUCCAGACUCCUACGGGAGGCAGCAGUAGGGAAUCUGCCGCAGUGGGCGAAAGCCUGACGGAGCAACGCCGCGUGAGUGAUGAAGGUCUUCGGAUCGUAAAACUCUGUUAUUAGGGAAGAACAAAUGUGUAAGUAACUGUGCACGUCUUGACGGUACCUAAUCAGAAAGCCACGGCUAACUACGUG
rnacentral:rRNA from 1 species